rnacentral:misc_RNA from 1 species
GAUGAAGAACGCAGCGAAAUGCGAUAAGUGAUGUGAAUUGCAGAAUUCAGUGAAUCAUCGAAUCUUUGAACGCACAUUGCGCCCGCCAGCACUCUGGCGGGCAUGCCUGUUCGAGCGUCAUUUCAACCAUCAAGCCCCCAGGGGCUUGUGCUGGGGCCCUGCGGCUGCCCGCAGGCCCUGAAAACCAGUGGCGGGCUCGCUAGUCACACCGAGCGCAGUAGCACAUCUCGCUCAGGGCGUGCGGCGGGCUCCUGCCGUGAAACCCCCCACUGUAACCCCAAAGGUUGACCUCGGAUCAGGUAGGAAUACCCGCUGAACUUAAGCAUAUCAAUAAGCGGAGGA